GCGAGGGGAGUGAAAAAGAACCUGAAACCGUGUACGUACAAGCAGUGGGAGCCCCACCACUAAGCCAGUGGUGAACUCCACAUACGCAUCCUUUGCUGAGGAUACGGUUAACGGAGCGAAAGCGACGUUCAACCGCAAAAGAAGCAGAGGGGGCUUAGUGGUGGGGUGACUGCGUACCUUUUGUAUAAUGGGUCAGCGACUUAUAUUCUGUAGCAAGGU
rnacentral:rRNA from 1 species